CUUCUCUAAAGUUUUGUUACUGUUGCAGGAGAGACGUGAGGGUUAGUUGCAUUCAUGUUGCUCCAUUGCUUGAGAUGGAUCCAUUUGAUUGAGGUGCCAUGCUGGAAAGAGAAUAUCUUUGUGUUUGUGUUACAGAAAGCAUGGCUGGCCUCUGUAUUUAUUUUUUAAGUGCACGCCGCAGUAGCCAGGACA